CAGCCGCCGCGGUGAUACGGAGGGAGCUAGCGUUGUUCGGAAUCACUGGGCGUAAAGCGCACGUAGGCGGCUAUUCAAGUCAGGGGCGAAAGCCCGGGGCUCAACCCCGGAACUGACUUUGAAACUAGAUAGCUUGAAUCUUGGAGAGGCGAGUGGAAUUCCGAGUGUAGAGGUGAAAUUCGUAGAUAUUCGGAAGAACACCAGUGGCGAAGGCGACUCGCUGGACAAGUAUUGACGCUGAGGUGCGAAAGCGUGGGGAGCAAACAGGAUUAGAUACCCGGGUAGUCCCUGUCUCUUAUAC
rnacentral:rRNA from 1 species